rnacentral:rRNA from 1 species
GAUGAACGCUAGCGGCAGGCUUAAUACAUGCAAGUCAAGGGGGUAGCAAUACAACCGGCGCACGGGUGAGUAACGCGUACACAACAUACCAUAUACUGGAGUAUAGCUUUGGGAAACUGAAGGUAAUCCUCCAUAACAUUGCGAGAGGGCAUCUGAUUGCAAUUAAAGUUUCGGCGGUAUAUGAUUGGUGUGCGUUUGAUUAGCUAGUUGGUAGGGUAACGGCCUACCAAGGCGACGAUCAAUAGCUGGCGUGAGAGCGCGACCAGCCACACUGGAACUGAGACACGGUCCAGACUCCUACGGGAGGCAGCAGUAGGGAAUAUUGGACAAUGGAGGAAACUCUGAUCCAGCCAUGCCGCGUGAUAGAUGAAGGCCCUCUGGGUUGUAAAUAUCUUUUAUCUGGGAAGAAACACUCCUAUUCUUAGGAACUUGACGGUACCAGAGGAAUAAGCACCGGCUAACUCCGUGCCAGCAGCCG